GGACAGUUGGGAGAGUGGCCGAAUCCGCUACCUUGGAAAGGUAGUGUAGGGUAACCUACCGUGAGUUCGAAUCUCACACUGUCCACCA
rnacentral:tRNA from 1 species